AGAUUCCAAACUUGAGGGAAGAAGUAAGAAAGACAGAGAUACAGCAAAACACAUUUCCCAGGGAUGUUGAAGAGGGUUCCAUUUUAUUAACGACGCCCGAGAGUUCCAUCAUCAUAAAUUCACCUGAAAACACCAUCAUUUAAAGCCCUCGCCCAAAUAGACACCAUUAGAAGUUCUGAGCUGCUGAGAAUCUGGAUAAAUCUGGAUACGAGGAUCUGCCGUACACAGCUUCGUAACAGUCCAGGUGAAGUA